rnacentral:rRNA from 1 species
UACGGAGGGUGCAAGCGUUAUCCGGAUUCACUGGGUUUAAAGGGUGUGUAGGCGGGUAUUUAAGUCAGUGGUGAAAUCUCCAGGCUCAACCUGGAAACUGCCAUUGAUACUAUUUAUUCUUGAAUAUCGUUGAGGUUGGCGGAAUAUAUCAUGUAGCGGUGAAAUGCAUAGAUAUGAUAUAGAACAUCGAUUGCGAAGGCAGCUAACUAAGCGAUUUAUUGACGCUGAGGCACGAAAGCGUGGGGGAUCAAACAGG